rnacentral:lncRNA from 1 species
AACUCCAAAGGAACCGCAUAUGAAAUGUGGGAGUCUAUCAAACACACCUUCGGUGAUUCCUCCACAUGGGAUGAUGGCAAGUUCAAAAAGGAGGAACCAAAGGUGGAGAUACAUGAGGAUGUUGAGCAUGACCACAACAAGGUGGUUGUGGAGGAUUGCUCCACCUCAUGGUCAAGUGAAGAUGAAGAUGAUGGCUAUGAGAGUGAUGCUUCUACAAGCUCAUCCACUUCAUCACAUUCCUCCAUGUCUCACGGCGAUGGCAAGGUAUCUAUUGGAGGUGUG